ensembl:snoRNA
GAAAAAUGAUGAUAUUCCCUCAAUCUUCUGCACUUACAGUGAAGACCUCAGAUCCAACUCUGAUUUCACUCUAGUU